rnacentral:rRNA from 1 species
UACCAGCACCCCGAGUGGUCGGGACGUUUAUUGGGCCUAAAGCAUCCGUAGCCGGUUCUACAAGUCUUCCGUUAAAUCCAACUGCUUAACAGGUGGGCUGCGGAAGAUACUAUAGAGCUAGGAGGCGGGAGAGGCAAGCGGUACUCGAUGGGUAGGGGUAAAAUCCGUUGAUCCAUUGAAGAACACCAGUGGCGAAGGCGGCUUGCCAGAACGCGCUCGACGGUGAGGGAUGAAAGCUGGGGGAGCAAACCGG